AGAGUUUGAUCCUGGCUCAGAACGAACGCUGGCGGCAGGCCUAACACAUGCAAGUCGAACGAUGCCUUCGGGCAUAGUGGCGCACGGGUGAGUAACACGUGGGAACAUACCUUUUGGUGGGGGAUAACUUCGGGAAACUGAAGCUAAUACCGCAUACGCCCCUUGGGGGAAAGAUUUAUCGCCGAAAGAUUGGCCCGCGUCCGAUUAGCUAGUUGGUGAGGUAAUGGCUCACCAAGGCUCCGAUCGGUAGCUGGUCUGAGAGGAUGACCAGCCACACUGGGACUGAGACACGGCCCAGACUCCUACGGGAGGCAGCAGUGGGGAAUAUUGGACAAUGGGCGCAAGCCUGAUCCAGCCAUGCCGCGUGAGUGAUGAAGGCCUUAGGGUUGUAAAGCUCUUCACCCACGACGAUGAUGACGGUAG
rnacentral:rRNA from 1 species